rnacentral:ncRNA from 1 species
GCUGGGGGGCAUCCCCGGCUGAGAUCGAAGCAAACCGCAGCUUCGGGUCGCCUUGAACCUGAUCCGGGUAAUGCCGGCGUAGGAAGUUUG